UUUGCUACCACUGAUGUUAUAGCUUUGGCUGAAGAUUUUUCUUGAAACGACAAAGAGUGGCGGUCUGCAUCAUGCAGAUGGACACUGAUCUGUCUGCUUUUGGUAGUCACACUGACGAUCAAGAUGAACUCAUCCUGGGGCAGUUGUGUGAUCACAAGAUCAGUGGUUGCACAUACUGAGUGCUCUUCUGCUCAGGUUCACAGGUAACUCUGCUUGCAGCAUUUUACGUAUGUUAUAUUGGACAUCUCUCCUGCCACGGCGUUUUGCUGCAUGGCUGGAAUUUUCAUUGCCCAGUGUCACUGGC